UUUUAUGGCAGACUACACCAAUUGGAGUUUUACCGCCACCUACUGUACGGCGAGUGAACGAAGAAGAAAAAUAUCUAUCCAAAUUAUUUAUAUCGUAGAUCGUUGUUACUUCCCUGAGGUUGUGUCGUGUGUCCGUACUCAUCUCUCGCCGCCCUUGUGUGGAUUAUCUGCUGUGCUCCUUCCUACCCAUCCGGACACUCUCACCUGGGUUUCUCAGCACGCUCACAUAGGAGGAUGCGCCCUAGUCCCUGGGUCGGAUUCCGUCUGAGUACAGUCUGUCUGUCCUGUUGCUGCUGUAACCUGUAUUCAUUAAACCAUCGUUGCUUGCA